UACGUAGGGGGCAAGCGUUGUCCGGAUUUAUUGGGCGUAAAGAGCGUGUAGGCGGCCAGGUAGGUCCGUUGUGAAAACUGGAGGCUUAACCUCCAGCUGUCGAUGGAAACCAUCUGGCUAGAGUCCGGAAGAGGAGAGUGGAAUUCCUGGUGUAGCGGUGGAAAUGCGCAGAUAUCAGGAGGAACACCUAUAGCGAAGGCAGCUUACUAGGCUGUAACUGACGCUGAGGCACGAAAGUGUGGGGAUCAAACAGG
rnacentral:rRNA from 1 species